rnacentral:lncRNA from 1 species
UACGCCGGUUCGAAACAGCACCGAGCGCUACCGGACUUGAACACUUGCCUGAAAAGUAAACCGGAGAAUGCUGCAGAGAGAUCGAGAGAAGAGAUUGUAUUUCGAUUGUAUUUCGGUGUGUGUAACUGUGUUGGUCUGCAUUGGGUUUUAUAGGCACAGAUCAUAACUGAUUCUGGCCUCAUCAUUGCAGAGAAUUAAAGCUAGUCGGUUUCAAAACUUAUGCCUCAUCAUUGCAGAGAAUUAACUCACAUAAUGGCUCAGCGGUUUCGAAACUGAAUAGUAUAAUGGUUCUCAUUAAAACUGAAAAUCAUUUCAGUUAAAGACCCAUUAAGACCAACCGUUUUAAAGACUAAUUAAUAAAAAUAAUUAGUCAGUCUCGAGUGCAAAAACUGUCUCCCGCGAGCCCGGGUUUU